GGACGAACGCUGGCGGCGUGGAUUAGGCAUGCAAGUCGGACGGUAGGACUUUAUCGUAAGAUAGAGUUUGAGAGUGGCGAACGGGUGAGUAAUACGUAGGAAUCUACCCUUAAGACGGGGACAACUCAGGGAAACUUGGGCUAAUACCGGAUGCGAGUGUAUGAGAGUACAUUUAAAAGGAUGGUGAAAGCUAUCGCUUAGGGAUGAGCCUGCGGUCUAUUAGCUAGUUGGUGGGGUAAGAGCUCACCGAGGCGAUGAUAGAUAGGCGGCCUUAACGGGUGGUCGCCCACACUGGGAUUGAGAUACGGCCCAGACUCCUACGGGAGGCAGCAGUCGAGAAUAGUCUACAAUGGCCGGAAGGCUGAUAGUGCGACGCCGCGUGAACGAGGGAGCCCUUCGGGGUGUAAAGUUCUUUUCUAUACGAGCAGUGCUAUAUAUAUUCAAAGUAUAUAUAGAGGGAUAGUAGUAUAGGAAUAAGCAACGGCUAACUCCGUGCCAGCAGCCGCGGUAACACGGGGGUUGCGAGCGUUGUCCGGAAUUACUAGGCGUAAAGGGCAGGUAGGCGGAUCUACGAGUUUUUUGUUAAAGGCUACGGCUCAACUGUAGUAGAGCAGGAGAUACUGUAGGUCUGGAAUGCGGUAGGGGAAGACAGAAUUCCUGGGUGUAGCGGUGGAAUGCGCAGAGAUCAGGAGGAAUACCGAAGGCGAAGGCAGUCUUCUAGGCCGUAAUUGACGCUUAACUGCGAAGGUGUGGGGAUCAAACAGGAUUAGAUACCCUGGUAGUCCACACAGUAAACGAUAAUCACUAGAUGUCGGGUUCUAGAUGGAUUCGGUGUCGGAGCAAACGCGAUAAGUGAUUCGCCUGGGGAGUACGAUCGCAAGGUUGAAACUCAAAGGAAUUGACGGGGGCCCGCACAAGCGGUGGAGCAUGUGGUUUAAUUCGAGGCAACGCGAAGAACCUUACCCGGUUUUGACAUCCACGGGAGGCUUCAGAGAUGGAGCUGUGCCGGCGUAAGCUGGAGCCGUGAGACAGGUGCUGCAUGGCUGUCGUCAGCUCGUGUCGUGAGAUGUUGGGUUAAGUCCCGCAACGAGCGCAACCCUUGCCUUCAGUUACCAUCAUUAAGUUGGGGACUCUGGAGGGACCGCUGCGGUAACAACGCAGAGGAAGAUGGGGACGACGUCAAGUCAUCAUGGUCCUUAUGGCCGGGGCUACACACGUGCUACAAUGGCAGUUACAGAGGGAAGCGAUUCAGUAAUGAGGAGCGAAACUCAGAAAAGCUGCCGCAGUUCGGAUUGAGGUCUGCAACUCGGCCUCAUGAAGUCGGAAUCGCUAGUAAUCGCGCAACAUCAUGGCGCGGUGAAUACGUUCCCGGGCCU
rnacentral:rRNA from 1 species